CUUGAAAUAUAGGGGUGCUUGUUUCUUCCAUACGGGGAGGACAGGCUGAGAAAAACCCUUAGAACCUGAUCUGGGUAAUGCCAGCGUAGGGAAAAAAAUGAAUAAACGU
rnacentral:ncRNA from 2 species